ACUAAUCGAACCAUCUAGUAGCUGGUUCCCUCCGAAAUUUCCCUCAGGAUAGCUGCGAUCGAAUGUCAAUUUUAUCAGGUAAAGCGAAUGAUUAGAGGAUCCGGGGGCGGAAUGCCCUCGGCCUAUUCUCAAACUUUAAAUGGGUAAGAGCCCAGUGUUGCUUAAUCGAACACUGGCGUUGAAUGACGGUUGUUAGUGGGCCAUUCUGGGUAAGCUGGACUGGCGAUGCGGGAUGAACCGAACGUUGAGUUAAAGUGCCUCACUGCCCGCUCACCUAGAUCCCACAAACGGUGUUGGUUCAUUUUGACAGCAGGACGGUGGCCAUGGAAGUCGGAACCCGCUAAGGAGUGUGUAACAACUCACCUGCCGAAUGAACUAGCCCGGAAAAUGGAUGGCGCUGAAGCGAGCGACUUAUACUCAACCACUAAGGCAAGUGCGAAGCCUUAGUGAGUAGGAGGGCGUGGAGGUUGUGGCGCAUCUUGCGGCGUGAGCCGGAGUGAAACAGCCUCUAGUGCAGAUCUUGGUGGUAGU
rnacentral:rRNA from 1 species